rnacentral:rRNA from 1 species
AGAGUUUGAUCAUGGCUCAGAACGAACGCUGGCGGCGUGCUUAACACAUGCAAGUCGAGUGCGCAGUCCCGUAGCAAUACGGGAUGGGCGCACGGCGCACGGGUGCGUAACACGUGGGCAAUCUGCCCUCCGAUGGGGAAUAACCCCGCGAAAGCGGGGCUAAUACCGCAUAACAUUCCUUGGACUAUGGUUUUAGGAUUCAAAGCAGCAAUGCGUCGGAGGAGGAGCCCGCGCCCGAUUAGCUAGUUGGUGAGGUAACGGCUCACCAAGGCAAUGAUCGGUAGCUGGUCUGAGAGGAUGGCCAGCCACACUGGAACUGAGACACGGUCCAGACUCCUACGGGAGGCAGCAGUGGGGAAUCUUGCGCAAUGGGCGAAAGCCUGACGCAGCGACGCCGCGUGGGGGAUGAAGCUUCUCGGAGUGUAAACCCCUUUCGACUGGGACGAAUGCCCGCAAGGGAGUGACGGUACCAGUAGAAGAAGCCCCGGCUAACUACGUGCCAGCAGCCGCGGUAAGACGUAGGGGGCCAGCGUUGUUCGGAAUUACUGGGUGUAAAGGGUUCGUAGGCGGUGUGGCAAGUCGGGAGUGAAAUCUCUGGGCUUAACUCAGAGGCUGCUUCCGAAACUGCUGUGCUUGAGUGUGGGAGAGGCGCGUGGAAUUGCAGGUGUAGCGGUGACAUGCGUAGAUAUCUGCAGGAACACCCGUGGCGAAAGCGGCGCGCUGGACCACAACUGACGCUGAGGAACGAAAGCUAGGGGAGCAAACAGGAUUAGAUACCCUGGUAGUCCUAGCCCUAAACGAUCAGGACUUGGGGUGCCGCCCGUUCGGGCGUCGUCCCGGAGCUAACGCGUUAAGUCCUGCACCUGGGGAGUACGGUCGCAAGACUGAAACUCAAAGGAAUUGACGGGGCCCGCACAAGCG